GUGUCAGCAGCCGCGGUAAUACAGAGGUGGCGAGCGUUAUUCGGAAUUAUUGGGCGUAAAGGGCGCGUAGGCGGCUAGGCAAGUCUUGGGUGAAAUCCCUCGGCUCAACCGAGGAACUGCCUUGGAAACUGCCUGGCUCGAGGCCGGGAGAGGGUAGCGGAAUUCCCAGUGUAGCGGUGAAAUGCGUAGAUACUGGGAGGAACACCAGUGGCGAAGGCGGCUACCUGGACCGGUUCUGACGCUGAGGCGCGAAAGCGUGGGGAGCAAACAGGAUUAGAAACCCUUGUAGUCC
rnacentral:rRNA from 1 species